rnacentral:misc_RNA from 1 species
UCGAGUGAGGGCCUCCGGCCCGACCUCCAACCCUUUUGUUGACCAACACUUGUUGCCUCGGGGGUGACCCGGCCUCCGCGCCGGAGUCCGGCGCGAUCGUGCCGGGCCCCCGAUGGACCUUCUUAACACUGUAUCGAUACGUCGGAGUACUUGAUGAAUCAAUCA